ACGUUCUCGUAGGAUUACCGACAUUAAGCAACAUCGAGCCUGAUCAGUACUUAGAUGGGUGACCUUUUGGAAAUACCAGGUGCUGUAAU